GUCGAAAGACCAAAGAUUUAUUGCCCUGAGAUGAGCCCGCGUAGGAUUAGCUAGUUGGUGUGGUAAAGGCCCACCAAGGCGACGAUCGGUAGCCGGACUGAGAGGUUGAACGGCCACAUUGGGACUGAGACACGGCCCAGACUCCUACGGGAGGCAGCAGUGGGGGAUAUUGCACAAUGGAGGAAACUCUGAUGCAGCAACGCCGCGUGAGGGAAGAAGGUUUUCGGAUUGUAAACCUCUGUCCUUGGUGAAGAUAAUGACGGUAGCCAAGGAGGAAGCUCCGGCUAACUACGUGCCAGCAGCCGCGGUAAUACGUAGGGAGCAAGCGUUGUCCGGAUUUACUGGGUGUAAAGGGUGCGUAGGCGGCUUGUCAAGUCAGGCGUGAAAUAUAUGGGCUUAACCCAUAGACUGCGUUUGAAACUGUCGAGCUUGAGUGAAGUAGAGGUAGGCGGAAUUCCCGGUGUAGCGGUGAAAUGCGUAGAGAUCGGGAGGAACACCAGUGGCGAAGGCGGCCUACUGGGCUUUAACUGACGCUGAGGCACGAAAGCAUGGGUAGCAAACAGGAUUAGAUACCCUGGUAGUCCAUGCCGUAAACGAUGAUUACUAGGUGUGGGGGGUCUGACCCCUUCCGUGCCGGAGU
rnacentral:rRNA from 1 species